rnacentral:lncRNA from 1 species
CUCACCUGGCACCGUCAAACAUCUAACCCAGCAUGACUCCAUACAUUACAAACUGCCUUCAGUUUACAGCCCAUGUCCUGCGUCCACAUCCGCGGCCUGUCCUGUGUAUUUAUUUAGUCUUGUACUCUGUUCUGUGUUGCAUCACCACGGUUUCCACAGAAAUUACAUUUCGUUCCAGUGUAUACAAGUUAUAUAGAGGAAUGACAGUAAAAAUAACUUGAACUUGAACUUCCAAGGCCAUUUUGAUUCAGUGAAAUAUGUCCUGUAAAAAUUAAAUAAAUUGAUGGUUCACUUUUUGUUCUUCCUCCCCAGGACUCCGAAACAUCUUACAGUAAAUCUGUGAAAGAAACGUCUACUUUGGAUGAGUGCAAACUGUUCAUCGGAGAACUGGCCACCCAACUGGACAGGGUCCUUCAGACAGGAGCAGCGGAUGGUUCCCGCACCACACCGGCUGGACUCGAGUCCAGGAGCAGAGGCUGAUGACGGACGGGCCGUGGAACCGGUGACAGGACACAGGACAGAGGACACAGGACACAGGAUAGGGACGAACGCAGCCAGUGUUACAGACAGGACUCCUCUGAAACUUCUACAAAUAUUUUGCACAUUUCUCUUCUUUCUUAUGUAAAGGAUGUCAGGAAAAUGCGCGAAUAAUUGUGGUUUUAAACAGUUAUAGUGCAGGUUAAUGUCUGUGUAUCAUUUUAAUAGUUUCAUUUGGACUAAUUGUUCUUAUUAAUGCAUUUUACUGCACUGUGACUAAAAGACUGGACUAAGAGACAGCUGCUACCGCAGUGCUUAGAGUUGUUGCCUGGCAAAGGCAGCGAAUGUGGCUAAGAGACCCGUGAGUUUGACAGCUGGGGGAUUUGAUCUGGUUUCUACGAUCAACUAAACAUGUUCUAUUUGACGCUAAGAUGGAUAAACAUUUACCGACUUACUGGUGUGAUGUACACUGCUUUGUACUGUGGUAUGAGGCAAACUGACCGCAUUCAAGAAUCACGUGACUGCAUCCAAAUUGUACACUGUUAACUGUCUUGUUCUAUGUUGCACCACCAUGGUCUCCGGAGAAACGACAUUUCGUUCCACUCUAUACAAACUAUACAGAGGGAUGACAAUAAAAAAAACUUGAAUUUGAAAUCUCUCCUUUUG